UGCGGUGUGGGAUGAGCCUGCGGCCUAUCAGCUUGUUGGUGGGGUAAUGGCCUACCAAGGCGUCGACGGGUAGCCGGCCUGAGAGGGUGUACGGCCACAUUGGGACUGAGACACGGCCCAGACUCCUACGGGAGGCAGCAGUGGGGAAUAUUGCACAAUGGGCGCAAGCCUGAUGCAGCGACGCCGCGUGGGGGAUGAAGGCCUUCGGGUUGUAAACUCCUUUCGCUAGGGACGAAGCCUUAUGGUGACGGUACCUGGAGAAGAAGCACCGGCUAACUACGUGCCAGCAGCCGCGGUAAUACGUAGGGUGCGAGCGUUGUCCGGAAUUACUGGGCGUAAAGAGCUCGUAGGUGGUUUGUCGCGUCGUCUGUGAAAUCCCGGGGCUUAACUUCGGGCGUGCAGGCGAUACGGGCAUAACUUGAGUGCUGUAGGGGAGACUGGAAUUCCUGGUGUAGCGGUGAAAUGCGCAGAUAUCAGGAGGAACACCAAUGGCGAAGGCAGGUCUCUGGGCAGUAACUGACGCUGAGGAGCGAAAGCAUGGGUAGCGAACAGGAUUAGAUACCCUGGUAGUCCAUGCCGUAAACGGUGGGCGCUAGGUGUAGGGGUCUUCCACGACUUCUGUGCCGCAGCUAACGCAUUAAGCGCCCCGCCUGGGGAGUACGGCCGCAAGGCUAAAACUCAAAGGAAUUGACGGGGGCCCGCACAAGCGGCGGAGCAUGUGGAUUAAUUCGAUGCAACGCGAAGAACCUUACCUGGGCUUGACAUGGACCGGAUCGGCGUAGAGAUACGUUUUCCCUUGUGGUCGGUUCACAGGUGGUGCAUGGUUGUCGUCAGCUCGUGUCGUGAGAUGUUGGGUUAAGUCCCGCAACGAGCGCAACCCUUGUCUUAUGUUGCCAGCACAUUGUGGUGGGUACUCAUGAGAGACUGCCGGGGUUAACUCGGAGGAAGGUGGGGAUGACGUCAAAUCAUCAUGCCCCUUAUGUCCAGGGCUUCACACAUGCUA
rnacentral:rRNA from 1 species